AGUACUUUAGCACCUCCUGGAAUUCAUAUUGAGACAUAUUUUUCGGAAAUAUCAUUGGAGUAAAUAUUAUUUUUUUUCUCCAAUAUGUAUAAAUACAGGUAAACUACAAAACUCCUUGAUUUAAUAAUGCCGGCUUUUUAAUUUAGAUCAACUAAUUGAACAGCGGAAACGGAUAAAAUCGGAGCAGAGAAAACAAAAUCAAAUACAAGACUGCAAACUUGGUUGGACUGAUCCAAAAUUAAUAGAGAGGAUGCAAGAAAAUAUACCUAAGCCUGACAGACCUCAGGCGGAUUAUGGCCACCCCUCCUUCGAAUCAAACAAGGACAUGUUAUCUCUUCCAAUGCUUCCCUUGGAUAGACACUUUUUACCCCCGACAAAAGAGGAGCUGAUAACAGGGGGCGUGGAGUUGGUCCCUCUUCUGGCCAAAAGACAGCGAAUAGCAGCGAGAUGGCCUCUCUGCUCCAGUGACAUAACUAGGAUACAGGAAAUAAGGCCACAUGAUCCCAUAAAAGAGCCCAUUUGGCGUGACACUGCGGGAGAGAAAGAAUACGGUGAAGCACUUGCACAUCAAAUAGAGGAGCAACAGCAUAGACGACAGGAGGAACGAAAUCAAGAUCUUAUGAACUCUAGGAAACAUUUUGAAAAUUGGCAAAACUUUUGGGGAAGGCCCGGCCAUGGAGCGCCAAGGAGUGUUAAAGUGAAGGAAAAUUUGGAUUACUUACUGUAUCAUCUUCCAUUGAUUACGUCGAAAGGCACUAAUAUGAUAAAAUGAAGAUUAAUUAAGAGUUUAAAUGAAUCACAAGCUAAUUACUAUUAACUUGCGUUUCAGAAGAGAUAUGAUGCUAAUGCAUGUGAGGAUAGUGAAAAAUUCAGCCUUGUUACAAUUACAGAUAGAAUAUAUAAUAAAUUCAAAAACAAACAAAAAUAUUCAAGACAUUACAUCAUCACGUAGGCCUCAUUUUUCCUCGUAAAAAUUAUGGGACUUAUAUUUAGAGGGAGAAACUUUUAAGACUUUUUCCACUAAUGGUUAUAUUGUUGUGUCUCGUUCCCAUACUUUCUGUUACCACUACUUGUGAGAAUAUUUUAGAAUGAAAUUAUUGUUUCCGGCUUAUUUAUUUAUAAAAGUUUAUUCGUUGAUUUUAAAGUUUUAAGUAUCCAAAGUUAUACGAGUACAUUGUUUUACCGUUAAAGUUUUUAACCUAUGGUGUGUUUGAUUGGUGAUUAAGAGUUUCCUGUUAAAACUUCAAAGAUAUUAAAGGAGUUGUUAUUUACCUGAUGUUAGUAUAUGUAUGGUCUGGAUGACUGAUAGUCUAUUGUUUCGUUUCACUGCAUAUGCGUCAGAACUUUAAGACUGCAAUUUUUUGCUGUAGUGUAUAAUAAUACAUUGUUUUGUACAGAAAAGCUAUGUUUUUGUUUUCUUUUUUAUUAUGUAUAAAUAUAAGGAGAUAUAAGACUCUCUGUCAUUUAUUAUUGCACAUUCUCUUUUCUGAGGAUCAUCACUAAAAUGUUUUCCAGCAUGUCACCUGUAUUACAAAUGGACGUAUUUCUGCCAAACUGAAAUAUGUGCAUUAUUACGUGAGCCUUGUUACGCAUAUACUCUUAUGAUUCUUAGGGCUCAUGUCUUAAUGAUGCACACAGUUCCGAAGAAGCACAAGUAGGUUUUCACGACAUAGAGAAAGAAAACUCGAAAGAAAAUUAAUUUCCAAAUUUAUCUAAGACUUGAAAAAGCCAAACAUAAUUUUCAACCGAUCAUAAUAUCAAAUUUUCUAUAUCGACACAACUCUUUACACGAUUGACACUAUAUUAUGUAAUACAAAUUUAAGAAAAAGAAAUCGAAAUACUAAAAAAAAAAUCGAAAAUAUAAAUCCUAUAUUCUAUUAGCAUAGUGAAUAGGGAGGUUUCUUUGUAAAAUUGUGAAUAUCACACUUUACGCGUUCCACAGCUUCAACCCUUUAUUUUUAAUUGGUUGAAGGAUUAUCUGUAUUGAUUCAAUUUUCCGCUCGUCGGGGCAAAUGCCAACGGUCACCAGCAUUUCUUCGAUAGAUUUCUUAUCGGGUCUCACGGUAUAAAACACUUUAUGAGCGGCGACAUCAGUGCAGUCACCGUAAAGUUCAUGGAUAAUAUCGAGAACUACAUCUUUGUCACUGAUGGAAUCUCGGAAAUCCUGCAACUCCGGCUUCAUCCUCAGAUCGCCAGCGAUUUUAAUGCCCUGUUUUAAAAUCUUUUCCCAUUUGGCUACUCGCUUCACUUUCGGGGAAUUAUUUACCAUAAACUUUCUUUCAUGUUCUUCGAUUCUGCUGCGUACUCUAAAGAGAAGCACGUAUAUUUCAGCGUCCAGCUGAAAUCCAACAGAAAACACUAUUACAAUCAUCAGAUAGACAGGCUGUGUGAACAUCGCUCAUCGAAAACGGAAAGAUGAAACUUUGCUAGUACCAAAUUUACUUCUCUUUAUUUUUACAGAUACCCUAGUAGCAAAAAGCAUAUAAAAAACGCUAAAAAAAAUCGUAAAAAAGUUGUAAGAAACUUGUAGAUUUUAAGAUUAAAAAAUUAAACUCUUAAAAAACUCUUCAAAAAAAACUAUUAAAAUGUUCGAAGGACGACACCCUUUUUGGGCGCUUUUUUACUUAAAAAAAGUUUUCAGAUUCACGUGAAAAUUCUCGUAAUUUUUACAUAAAAUUUGAGAGUUUUUUUGCUUUGUUCGAUUUUUGAAAAAAUUCCAUCUUUCUGACUAUGAUUUGCACCCGAGACCGCAGAGGUAUGAGCCCAGCGCUUAACUAUUAGAAUACAGCGAGUUCUGAUAUGGGGUACAUAGAAAAUAUAGUAUUUAAAGUACCACGAGCCUCAGAUUUUUACGUAAAAAUUAACACUUUCUUAGGUAAAAUUUAACAGUUUUUUAGAGUAAAAAUUAACAUAUUUUAAAGUAAAAAAGUGGGGGAAAAAGGAUUUCCUCCUUCGUUCUUUUUAAAAGUUUUUUUUAACAGCUUUUCUAGAGUUUUUCAAGAGUUUUUUACAAAUUCGUAAGUUUGGGUUUUUUACGACUAGCUUCAAAAGUCGCUGAUACUAGGGAAUGAUUAAUAAAUUCUUUUUCAAUUAGGAACUACAAUUUGUGGCUCAGUUUAGAAACAAUGUAUAUACCAUUCAUUUUCCUAAGCUUGUAAGUGUUUUUAUGGACGGUCCAGAAAUGACUGACUGUACUUCCUAAUUGCGAAGUGUAACCCAAUUGAUCAACCAUCAUUUUGGCCGAAAUUUCAUAAAGAAAUUUAAUAUUCCCUGUGUAUAUCCAUGUGUUUUAACAACUUUAUUUUGUUGCCUCUCUUUUUUUAAAAUAUAACUUAACGCUAUUUUUUAUUUUGAAAUCCUUUUUCUUUAGUGAUUCGAUUAAACUGAGACGUAGUGGGAUGCAAACCUUCACACAUGACACACAUAUCGCGUGUUUGCUCACUUUCAUGGUUACACCAUGGUAAAUCUUUAACGAUAAAUGUCAUAAGAGAAUCUUGAUUAUUUAAAUUAAGUUUCCAGACAAAAUCCUCUGGUGCUUUCAGCUUAUGAGUAAAGUUAUCUGGUAGUUCCCAGAAUCGUGAAUUUCUGGAAAAAAGCAUUAAACUUUCAGGAUACCGCAUCUUUACCUGUAAGAGGUUCCAUUUUGCAAGUGAGCCAAAAAUUCUGAGGCCAUGGUGGCCGGGGGGGGGGCUGAAUUCGCUCCUUUUAGGCGAAUUUUCGCGUUGAAUCAUUGUUAGAACUACGUUAACAAUAUAAAAUGUGAUCAAAAUUUGUGUAACCUUCAUCAGUAGGUUCUUUCGAACAGCAUUCUAAAAUUGUUUUGUAAAUUCAGCACUGUAAAUUCUAAAAUUGUUGUUCUAAAAUUCACUGUCCGAUCCCGGAACACCCUCCACAAUGCCUAAAAUUCAAAAUGGCGCCCUUAAUAGGGCCUCCGGGAUAUCGGUAUUUUCACAUGUGCAUAUCGCGCCAUGCGAGGUAUCAUUUUCCAUGCAAUUUUGAUCGCAGAUUUCAUAUUUGAAGUCAAAACGACUCCUCGGUCAAAAUUGGAGCCCCAAAUCCAAGAUGGCGGCCAAAUUUGAAAGACAGGAGGGUGCAUUUUUUAAACUUUUACGAGACAAGGCGAGUGACAUGCGUAGGUAAGAAGAGUUGUGGCUACCCGAAAUGAAGGGGAAUAAUUAGGGAAAAAUUAAAUAAAGUUCAUUGAUGUAUGACAGUGGAAUUUGUUUCCUAAAAUGCAAAACGAAAAUGAAAGUGAGCUGAGGAGAUGGUAAAAAAUUUUGACUUCAAAAGAUAUCAAAUAUUUUGAGGUUUGAGACUGAAAAAAGAACUGCCUGUUUUAUCCCUCGCCAUCUUCUCGUAGGAAACAAAUCCAAUUAUCCUUCCUUGUAUUAGUGACCCAGGUAACUAAACUAGCUUAAUAUUAGGCUGGUUGCGUCCGAGACUAACUAAAGGGGACUCUCAGCAGAAUUAACUGUCCAUUUGCUUGUUGAAGUUCUGGGGCGUACUUAUACUUAAAAAAUCUUGACCUCAAAUGAUAUCAGACAUUUUGAGGUUUGAAAUAGAAAACAGAGUUUGAGCUACUUUUCUUUUCUCCUUUUGUAAUUUUCAGGAGAUUACCCCCCCCCCCCGCCACCUCUCCUUUUUAAUUUUUUUUUUUUUAGAUACAUACCUCCUAAUUUUGUGAUAAGAUCUUAUAGACUUGGCAGAAUUUUUACCCUAUUUGAGGGUUUUUUGCGGUUAUAAUUAGUUACCUACAGUUAUAAGAAUUGCUGGAAACAAGCAAUCUCAGGAGGGAAAAGUAACAACCGUUCUCAGAAAAAGGAAAUGAUUCUUUUGUCAAGACAAGACUUUUCCCUUAAACCAGAAAAUGUAAAGUUUAAAUAAAACUUUAUGAAUAAUUAGGUAUGAUUAAGGUGUACUUACAUUUUCAUUCGAUGAAGCUCCAAGUUCCAUGAAGUCCCCCGUUGCUUCUAACACCAGCAGAAAAAAGAAUAAGCUUAUUCAUGGUGUCUACCUAAUAAGUUCACUGUCUCGCAAUGACUGUAUUCCGUAUUCCGUCCAAAACUGUAUUAGUUUUGAGAACAAUAAGAGCGGCUUUAUUAUGAGACAUACGGGG
rnacentral:lncRNA from 1 species